rnacentral:lncRNA from 1 species
AUGCCAUAUAUAUGCGUGUGUGUGUGUCUUUAGGUCAAUGUAUGUGCUUGAGAUGUAAGAUUGAGUGACUUGAAACAAUUUAAAGAUUGUGUCUAUUGUUCGAGAAAAACUUUGGGUGUAAUCAAAGAUAUGUCUCUAUUUUAUUGUCUUGCAUGAUUGUAAUAAUAUUUUUUUGUUUGUGAUUAAUUAUAAUGAUUCUUCAUCGAUUAAAAAGGGGAGAAAUUAUGCACUCUUUUAAACCAUGGAAAGUGACAAUCGAGUUUAUCUUUCUCUCUUAGUAUAGCAGUCUUGUUCUCCUAGACUACAUCUUCUAAGAAAACUGUGGUUACCCACCAUUGGUUCUUAAUUCUAACGGUUGGUAGUUAUUUAACUUUUGUUGUAUAUGUU